AUGUAAAAGGUUUACCCUUUUGGAAUGGGAAACAUGACACUAUUCAUCACUCACACAAAUAAAUCAUUUAAUAUUUUGAUAAUUGAAUUGGUUUUUGCGGUUAAACUUUUUUUUUUUUUUUUUUGUAACACAUUGCACUUCAUGUGUUUACAGAUUUGUGCAGAAUUUGAGACAUACAGAAUUACCAUAGGCCCAUUAGAAUCAACAAUCUUUGCCAAACUGGCUCCGCUCUACAAAACUUAUGAAGAUGUUUGCAUACUGAAGAAGAGUCCUUGGACAAAUACUGAAACCCUCUUGGUGCCCACUACACAGACUAAUGAAAUUGAAGUAUCCAAAUGAAGACCCUAGCAGUAUGGAGUAUAUGGAUACAGACGUUGCCAGCAGUCAGGAGGUGAUCCAGAAGACUCGUGGGAAUCUAUUUGAAGGUGCAUCAUUGAAGACAGUCCAGCAGAAGUUGGAGUUUUAAAGGAUAAAGUUCUUCAGGACCUA